GGAACCUUAGUUUAAUGGUAGAACCCUGGAUUUUCGUUCCAGUGAUAGGGGUUCAAUUCCCCUAGGUCUCG
rnacentral:tRNA from 1 species